GUGGGGAAUAUUGGACAAUGGGGGGAACCCUGAUCCAGCCAUGCCGCGUGUGUGAAGAAGGCCUUUUGGUUGUAAAGCACUUUAAGCGAGGAGGAGGCUACCGAGAUUAAUACUCUUGGAUAGUGGACGUUACUCGCAGAAUAAGCACCGGCUAACUCUGUGCCAGCAGCCGCGGUAAUACAGAGGGUGCAUGCGUUAAUCGGAUUUACUGGGCGUAAAGCGCGCGUAGGUGGCCAAUUAAGUCAAAUGUGAAAGCCCCGAGCUUAACUUGGGAAUUGCAGUCGAUACUGGUUGGCUAGAGUAUGGGAGAGGAUGGUAGAAUUCCAGGUGUAGCGGUGAAAUGCGUAGAGAUCUGGAGGAAUACCGAUGGCGAAGGCAGCCAUCUGGCCUAAUACUGACACUGAGGUGCGAAAGCAUGGGGAGCAAACAGGAUUAGAUACCCGGGUAGUCC
rnacentral:rRNA from 1 species